GAACUUCAGAAAACGUGUACAAUGUCUCAUUAAUACUCAUAUGUUAAAUUUUAUAAAAAGUUUAUUUGUAUUUUUAUAACACAUAAAUAAUUAUAAUAUGCACAUAUAGAGGUUGUUACAUGAUAGCAUAAUGUAUUAAAAAUAUAGGUGCUUGUUUUAUGUAUAUAGCUUUACGUGUUGUGCUUAUAUCAUAUUUUAUGUCCAAUUUAAUUACUGAGUCAGCAGUUUGUUGUAUCUGUUGUACAGUCACAUUGCAAUUGUUGAAAUAUUGACUUUCAAUUUUCUGGAAUAUGAAAUUCGUAGAAGAAUAUAUAACCAGAUUUGUUAAGGCCGUUAAGAAAGUAUUCUUAGAUUCUGUGAAGCACAUUUAUAAUAAAAAUAUUCUCAGAUUCUGUGAAGCACAUUUAUAAUGAAAAUAUUCUUAGAUUCAGGGAUAAUAGAAAGUGAAAAAAAUUACCCACCGAUGCAUGAGGUCAUAAAAUUUAUGGAGUUGUUAACAAGUGCAACAGAAGGUUAACACUCAACUUAUCAUCCAUCAAACUCAGUAAAUUUGACAUAUUAUAAUCGAAAGAAUAUAUUCAAUAUUAAUAUUACUCUUUUGUAUUUGAAAUUUGCUCUGAUUUUAAAAAUUGAGCUUUCUUACUGGUUGUAAAUUGUUCCAGGUUAUUAUUAUAGAUAUGAAAAUGCUGGCCAUUGAAAAAUAAAAAUUGCAAAAUAUAAUAGUUUUAUCAGAGAUCUUAAAUCAUAAUUAUAAUCUUCAUGUCAUGGUUAUUUAAGACAGGGUUUUGAGGACAUUUGAAUUUUGAUAUAUUUUUUUCUGAUUCAAGGAAAAUAUAUUUUACAAGUUUGCUUCCAUAGACCUUGUAUUUUUUUUUUAAUUUACCCAUUUUUUCUCUUUAUUUGAUCACAUUCAGAAUUUAAAAAAAACAUCUUUCAUUGAUUUCAGUCGUUGACUAUGAGCAGGCUCUGGGUCACAUAUAUAUCACAUCAUUUAAGUGACAUUUUUUGUAGCCUAUUCAGUUCUGUAUAUAAAUUUUUCACAUUUCAGGCAUGUUAAAAUAUGCUUUAAUGCAAAGGGGAUCUGUUUGAUAUGAUUAAUGUCUUAUUGGGCAGCCAUUUAAAAAAUAUGCAUUUUAUGCAUAAACAAAGAUAAUUGAGUUGGUCAUCCUUACCUGUAUUGUCCAAUCUAAUUGAUUGAUUUUGGUGUAUUGCAACUUUUAGCACACCUGACCAUUUCAUGGUUGAUCAAGUUAUCAUAUUGGCAAAGAACCUUUUGAUAUACUUCUAAAGCCUUUUUGUGUCAUUAUAUGCUUAAAAUAUGUUGUUUCAUCUAUCAUAAGCAUCAAACUAUAAUGUCUCAAUCAUAUUACAGAAAUGGUUAGGACUGAAAAAUGAUUACGAUCAGAGCCCUUUAAAUUGGGGUUAAUUUUAUAUAUAUAUAUAUGAUAAAGUUAUUGUAAAUUUUAUAUCAAUUGUGAUACCAAUUUGUUGCAUUAGGUUGAAAGAAAUAUGUUAGUGAAUAAAUAUAUUUAUAUUAUUUUAUUGUCAAUUAACAUAUGCAUUUUGCUGUAAAACCUUCACAGUUAAUGUCAUUGCAUGUCCUAACCUAACUAUUUAAUAAGAUAAAGCCAAUUGUUUAAGGAAAGCCUUUAGAGAACUAUUUGUAUUUUAUUCAAAAAGAGACAACUUGGGCAUGGGAUAAGACAUGUUUUGUUUCUGUAGGUACUUAAAAAUAUUUGUAUCCAAUGUUUUCAUACCACGUUAUAGUGUAGUAUUGAAUGGAAAGAAAAAUUAACAUUUUAUCAUAUAGAUCACAUACUUAACUGUUACAGCGGUAUAUACUACUGUUGCCUUUAUUUGUCAUCUUUUGAUCUUAAAAAUCUUUAAAUAGUGGCCAUAUAUAUGUAUAUAUUAUUCUAGAAUUGUUAAUAUUAAGUGACUGAUGUGAACUGGAGUGGGCAUUUAAAUAUGAAAUCUCCAAAUGAAUUUUAGUGAUUAAAUCAUGUUUUACAAUUUAAAA
rnacentral:lncRNA from 1 species